AACGGGUGAGUAAUGCGUGACCAACCUGCCCCAUGCUCCAGAAUAGCUCUUGGAAACGGGUGGUAAUGCUGGAUGCUCCAACUUGACGCAUGUCUUGUUGGGAAAGUGUUUAGUGGCAUGGGAUGGGGUCGCGUCCUAUCAGCUUGUAGGCGGGGUAAUGGCCCACCUAGGCUUCGACGGGUAGCCGGCCUGAGAGGGCGGACGGCCACAUUGGGACUGAGAUACGGCCCAGACUCCUACGGGAGCAGCAGUU
rnacentral:rRNA from 1 species